CCAAGGAGUCUAACACGUGUGCGAGUCAUGGAGCGAUACGAAACUCAAAGGCGCAAUGAAAGUGAAGGCGGAUCUCUGGUUCGCCUAGGUAAGACGGUUUCCGUCACGGCGGGGGCAAGCACUACCGGCCCGUCUCGAUCUCACCGUGGAUGAGGCGGAGCGAGAGCACAUGCGUUGGGACCCGAAAGAUGGUGAACUAUGCCUGAGCAGGACGAAGCCAGAGGAAACUCUGGUGGAAGUCCGUAGCGAUUCUGACGCGCAAAUCAAUCGUCGAACUUUGGUAUAGGGGCGAAAGACUAAUCGAACCAUCUA
rnacentral:rRNA from 1 species